rnacentral:tRNA from 1 species
UCCCUUGUGGCUAAGCUGGUAAAGAAUCCGCCUGCAACGCGGGAGACCUGGGUUCAAUCCCUGGGUUGGAA